UACGUAGGGUGCGAGCGUUAAUCGGAAUUACUGGGCGUAAAGCGUGCGCAGGCGGUUUUGUAAGACAGAGGUGAAAUCCCCGGGCUCAACCUGGGAACUGCCUUUGUGACUGCAAGGCUUGAGUGCGGCAGAGGGGGAUGGAAUUCCGCGUGUAGCAGUGAAAUGCGUAGAUAUGCGGAGGAACACCGAUGGCGAAGGCAAUCCCCUGGGCCGGCACUGACGCUCAGGCACGAAAGCGUGGGGAGCAAACAGG
rnacentral:rRNA from 1 species